GCCCAGGUGGCGGAAUUGGUAGACGCGCUGGCUUCAGGUGCCAGUGAUCGCAAGGUCGUGGAAGUUCGAGUCUUCUCCUGGGCACCA
rnacentral:tRNA from 3 species